rnacentral:rRNA from 1 species
GACAAACGCUGGCGGCAUGCCUAACACAUACAAGUCGAACGGACAGAACAGGGAAGCUUUUCGGAGUGGAACUGGAAAGUUAGUGGCGGAUGGGUGAGUAACGCGUGGACAACCUACCUUGUAAAGGGGAAUAACCUCGAGAAAUCGAAGCUAAUACCCCAUAAUAACCUUGCUUCGCAUGAAGUAAGGAGGAAAGGCGGCCUUAGCGCUGUCGAUACAAGAUGGGUCCGCGUCUGAUUAGCUAGUUGGUGAGGUAAAGGCUCACCAAGGCGACGAUCAGUAGCCGGCCUGAGAGGGUGAACGGCCACAUUGGGACUGAGACACGGCCCAAACUCCUACGGGAGGCAGCAGUAGGGAAUCUUCCGCAAUGGGCGAAAGCCUGACGGAGCAAUGCCGCGUGAGUGAAGAAGGCCUUCGGGUUGUAAAACUCUGUCCUUAUCGAAGAGAGAGUGUUGUAGUAACUGACAAUACUAGGACGGUAGAUGAGGAGGAAGCCCCGGCUAACUAUGUG